rnacentral:rRNA from 1 species
UACGUAGGGUGCGAGCGUUUGUCCGGAAUUAUUGGGCGUAAAGAGCUCGUAGGCGGCCUGUCGCGUCGAUUGUGAAAGCCCGGGGCUUAACCCCGGGUCUGCAGUCGAUACGGGCAGGCUAGAGUUCGGUAGGGGAGAUCGGAAUUCCUGGUGUAGCGGUGAAAUGCGCAGAUAUCAGGAGGAACACCGGUGGCGAAGGCGGAUCUCUGGGCCGAUACUGACGCUGAGGAGCGAAAGCGUGGGGAGCGAACAGG